rnacentral:lncRNA from 12 species
GCUGUUUUCUCACCAUUUAUUUCUACUUUGCACAUAACAUUAGAUAACUGUUCUCUCUUCCCUCCAACAGAUGAGGUCUGUGCUUUCAAGGAUCUAUUUUCAAGGGUGGUUUCAGUUCAAUGCACCCUAAGGAAAAAGGAAGUGGUAACCAGCUUCUCCCUCCAUCUGAUAUUCAGGAUGUAGAAGAUGUGAAUAAUAACGACUACUUUGAUCUUUUGCAAAUCUGUGUUCAGCACCAAAUGUUUGCCUUCAUCUUUUUCUCUCUCCAUCAAAGCAGCUUCAAGUUAAUGUUGGACUUUCAGUGAUACUUAAAAUCUGGCUGCAGAGCAGAUCAGAGCUGAAGCCUACAAAAGUAUACACACAGACUCCAGCUUCAGAGAAUUCAGCCAGAGCAACAAAAGAUAAGCAACCUUCGGAAACGGGAUUCACCUAAAAGCUUAGACACCUGAAAGCUUAGAUUGUCGAUAAGAAAUCCAAGUACAUUUUAAAACCACACCUCGUUAGAGGGGACAGCGGUAGUCGCCACAUUCUUUAUAAAUACUUACAGCAAUGUGUUUCUUAUUUUAAACCUGUAUAAGUCAGCACAUAUAUCAUAGACCUGCUAGUACUGAACUAUGAAUUCCAGGCAAAGGGAAAAACCCAUCGCCAAGUCUCUUUGGAUGCUGACAAGAGUCUUGUUGUGACAACUGAUCAUGUCAACUAAAGAAAACCUAACUUAAGGCAGGCUCUCAAUCUCCAUCCUGAUAAGGAGUGGAAUGCUGGCUGAGACCUGGAAGAGAAUUGGCUCCGUUCUGAAAUUCAAGUGCUUGGAAUCUUACCAUGGGAAGUAAUAAUUAUAAAUAAUCAAGUAGAUGCUUUGUUUUUCUGGCAGGGUAAGCAUGACCCUAAUUAGCAAGUUGGCUAAUAACAGGUCUCAUUUUAUAAAAUAUUAGGUAAGUCUGUACAGGAAAACACACACACACACACACACACACACACACACACCAACAAAAAAGUUUCUUGACUGGGUGGUGUUUGUUUUGUUUUGUUUUGUUUUGUUUUACUGGGUGGUUUAGGGGAAUUUUAAACCAAAGACCUGAAUAAACACCCAUCUCUUUUUAGGUUCCA